AUACGUAGGGUGCAAGCGUUAAUCGGAAUUACUGGGCGUAAAGCGUGCGCAGGCGGUUCGGAAAGAAGGAUGUGAAAUCCCAGGGCUCAACCUUGGAACUACAUUCUUAACUACCGAACUAGAGUAUGUCAGAGGGGGGUAGAAUUCCGCGUGUAGCAGUGAAAUGCGUAGAUAUGCGGAGGAAUACCGAUGGCGAAGGCAGCCCCCUGGGAUAAUACUGACGCUCAUGCACGAAAGCGUGGGUAGCAAACAGGAUUAGAUACCCUGGUAGUCCACGCCCUAAACGAUGUCAACUAGCUGUUGGGCCCUUCGGGGCUUAGUAGCGUAGCUAACGCGUGAAGUUGACCGCCUGGGGAGUACGGUCGCAAGAUUAAAACUCAAAUGAAUUGGCGGGG
rnacentral:rRNA from 1 species